rnacentral:lncRNA from 10 species
ACCCUAGGGACCCAGGUGAGGACAGGCACUUCUGACUUCUCCCAAAACAUUGCAUUUCCCAAGACCACCCUGGCUUGCCACGCCCCCACCUGAGCCUAUAAAAACCGGAUACCCUAGCAAGGCAGAGACAGAAGCUGUUGGACGGUGAGAGGAACACGUUGGCGGAAGAAGACAAGCAGCUGGAUAUCGAGGGGACAUCGAGGGGAGCAUGCUGGCAGAAGAACACACCAACAGAGGGACACCCGCACUCUGGCUGGUCUCACAACCCGCAGGACAAGGCAGAGUUUGGCUGGGGCAAUCGGAGGAACUCCAGGGAAAAACCAUCUCCCUUCUGGCUCCCCCAUCGGCGGAGAGCUACUUCCACUCGAUAAAACUUUGCACUCAUUCUCCAAGCCCACAUGUGAUUCGAUCCUUCCGGUACACCAAGGAUUGUUGCACAGUCAUGUUUGGGUAAUGCCACGUACAGUCUUUCCUUCUUAGGCAAUUAUAUUAGCAGUUAAAGGCUCUGAGAAGUUUUGCAAUGAAGAUGCUGUCAUAAGUUUGUCUAAUUCAGCAUUUGACAACAGAACUGAUUUUCCUAGCAACAUUUUGGUCCAGAGAGAAGGUGAUGCAAGAUGCAGAAAUGACUGAGAGUAUGGUGAGCACUUGUUCACUACGCCAGAAAUAAAAGAUCAUUGAAGUGAGAUUGAUUAAAACUACAAUCAAUAAAAGAUCAUUGAAGUGAAAUUGAUUAAAACUACAAUCAUUGUCAAAUAACCACAUUUAACUCCUCUCUUAAAACUUGUCACUUAAGACACUCUGUUAACUAAAUCUCUUUAAAGUAUUAAAUCAUGUCAUUGUUCGUAUGUAAAUGUAUUUCCAUUUGUAGGAUUAGCAGAUAAAACACCAAUUCUUAUUUCUACUUAAUCUCAUAUUCUGUAUUCCCCAAAUUUACAAAGAUA